rnacentral:rRNA from 1 species
AUACGGAGGAUGCGAGCGUUAUCCGGAUUUAUUGGGUUUAAAGGGAGCGUAGGUGGGAUAUUAAGUCAGCUGUGAAAGUUUGGGGCUCAACCUUAAAAUUGCAGUUGAUACUGGUUUCCUUGAGUACGGUAUAGGUGGGCGGAAUUCGUGGUGUAGCGGUGAAAUGCUUAGAUAUCACGAAGAACUCCGAUCGCGAAGGCAGCUCACCGGGCCGGAACUGACACUGAUGCUCGAAAGUGCGGGUAUCAAACAGGAUUAGAUACCCUGGUAGUCCACACAGUAAACGAUGAAUACCCGCUGUUUGCGAUAUACAGUAAGCGGCCAAGCGAAAGCAUUAAGUAUUCCACCUGGGGAGUACGCCGGCAACGGUGAAACUCAAAGGAAUUGACGGGG